AACCUAGCACACCUGCGGUGUGUACCUGCGGAGGGAUCAUUACCGAGUUUACAAACUCCCAAACCCUUUGUGAACCUUACCUAUCGUUGCUUCGGCGGGAUCGCCCCGGGCCGGCCCUUCACGGGGCCUCCGGAACCAGGCGCCCGCCGGAGAACCCAAACUCUUUGUUUUUAUGGUUUUCUCCUCUGAGUGGAUUAUAAACAAAUAAAUCAAAACUUUCAGCAAUGGAUCUCAGAUCGG
rnacentral:misc_RNA from 1 species